rnacentral:rRNA from 1 species
UACGGGGGGGGCAAGCGUUGUUCGGAAUCAUUGGGCGUAAAGGGCUCGUAGGUGGCCAACUAAGUCAGACGUGAAAUCCCUCGGCUUAACCGGGGAACUGCGUCUGAUACUGGUUGGCUUGAGUGUGGGAGAGGGAUGCGGAAUUCCAGGUGUAGCGGUGAAAUGCGUAGAUAUCUGGAGGAACACCGGUGGCGAAGGCGGCAUCCUGGGCCACGACUGACGCUGAGGAGCGAAAGCCAGGGGAGCAAACGGG